GACGAACGCUGGCGGCGUGCCUAAUACAUGCAAGUCGAGCGAAUCGAUGGGAGCUUGCUCCCUGAGAUUAGCGGCGGACGGGCGAGUAACACGUGGGUAACCUGCCUGUAAGACUGGGAUAACUUCGGGAAACCGGAGCUAAUACCGGAUACUUUCUUUUCUCGCAUGAGGGAAGAUGGAAAGAUGGUUCUGCUAUCACUUACAGAUGGACCCGCGGCGCAUUAGCUAGUUGGUGAGGUAACGGCUCACCAAGGCAACGAUGCGUAGCCGACCUGGGAGGGUGAUCGGCCACACUGGGACUGAGACACGGCCCAGACUCCUACGGGAGGCAGCAGGAGGGAAUCUUCCGCAAUGGACGAAAGUCUGACGGAGCAACGCCGCGUGAGCGAAGAAGGCCUUCGGGUCGUAAAGCUCUGUUGUUAGGGAAGAAUGGCCAAGAGAGGGAAUGCUCUUGGAGUGACGGUACCUUACCAGAAAGCCACGGCUAACUACGUGCCAGCCGCCGCGGUAAUAC
rnacentral:rRNA from 1 species